UCGGGCGUCGCCAAGCGGUAAGGCACCUGGUUUUGGUCCAGGCACUCGGUGGUUCGAAUCCAUCCGCCCGAG
rfam:Gloeobacter violaceus PCC 7421 DNA, complete genome.